AACGAACGCUGGCGGCAUGCCUAACACAUGCAAGUCGAACGAGACCUUCGGGUCUAGUGGCGCACGGGUGCGUAACGCGUGGGAACCUUCCCUUAGGUUCGGAAUAACUCCCCGAAAGGGGUGCUAAUACCGGAUAAUGUCUUCGGACCAAAGAUUUAUCGCCUUUGGAUGGGCCCGCGUUGGAUUAGCUAUUUGGUAGGGUAAAAGCAUACCAAGGCGACGAUCCAUAGCUGGUCUGAGAGGCAGAUCAGCCACACUGGGACUGAGACACGGCCCAGACUCCUACGGGAGGGAGCAGUGGGGAAUAUUGGAAAGUGGGCGAAAGCCUGAUCCAGCACUGCCGCGUGAGUGAUGAAGGCCUGAGGGUUGUAAAGCUCUUUUAACCGGGAUGAUAAUGACGGUACCGGGAGAAUAAGCCCCGGCUAACUACGUG
rnacentral:rRNA from 1 species